AUGUCCAGCGUGCUGUGCUGUGUGUGCCUGCAGGACCUGGGUGAAAAGGACAUUCUCUGAGGUGCUGGGAGAAGGAGGACUCGUGCGGGCACCUCCAGAGACAGCGGGAACGGGAGCGUGCUGCGGAGAAGGAAAAUUCCAGGGGAAUUGCCACGAGAGGAAAUACCUCAGAGGGGCUUCCCUCCAGAUAAGCCCUGAAUAUGCCAGGAGGUUUCAGCCGGGAGAAAGGAGCUGUGGAAGAAAAGCAGCCUAAAAGUAGCCAGCGGGGAUCAUCAGGUUUUCCAGGCAAGAAGAACAAGGAGAGAGAUGAGGGAAUGGGGUUCCAAUUCCUAAUGAUUUGGUGGGUGCAGGAAUGAUUUGUGUGUGUUUUCCAGUCCCUUUUGAUUCCUGAGAUGAUUUUAAAAUGAUGGCUUUAGCAAUCAACUAAAUCGGAGAUGUUGUUUUUGAGAGGAAAUGGUGCCAAAUAAAUGCAGAGUUUUGGGUCA